rnacentral:tRNA from 1 species
GCCUUCGUGGUGUAACGGUGGCACACUCGGCGUAUAUUCGAGAGGUCUAGGUUCAAAUCCCGGGGAGGGCA